UAUAGGUUACAUCCUGAUAUGCUGGGAACUCUAGAAAGAGCAUCAGGUGCCACAUUAAGUUUUCCUUUCCUGUAUUCAAUGAUGAAAUCAAACUUUUGCAACCUUAAGGCCCAUCUGACGAGGCGACUGGUGGACUUUGGGGAGCUCAUAACCCACUGGAGAGCCAUGUGGUCUGUAACUACGGUGAACAUGCGAUACUCCAAGUAAUGCUGCCACUUUUCAAGUGCCCAUAUGACUGCAAGACACUCUUUCUCUGUUGCGGUGUAAUUUCUUUCAGCCUUAUUCAGUGCUCUGCUUGCAUAAGCAAUAACUACUUCCAUUCCCUGGUCCUUCCUUUGUGUUAGCACAGCUCCAAGACCUGUGUCGCUGGCAUCAGUGUGCACCAUGAAGGGUAACUGGAGGUUUGGAUGGCUCAGGAUGGGAGGUGAAGUAAGCGCAUUUAUGGGUUCAGCAAUUUGAGAAAAAUUAGGAACAAAGCGGUGGUACCAACCGGCUAGUCCCAGGAAGCGCUGGACCUCUUUGAUGUCUCGUGGCACAGGGUUGAUAGUCAGUCCAGCCUCCUGAAGCUUAAGAAGGACUGAUUGGAGAUCGUUGAAGUGCUGAGCCACUGAUGGUGAAUAGAUGAUAAUAUCGUCAAUGUAGACAAAGCAUAUUUUUCCUCUCAAUUUU